rnacentral:lncRNA from 1 species
GCAUCAACUCUGCCUCUAAGGGACCAGCUUAUCAGGAGAUGAUAAGGGGUCACUACCAAACACUCUGCUACAAGAAAAUAAGUGACCAGCUCCUGGGAGAGAGACUGAUGGGUCAAGACUGGCUGGUUGUGUUCAUCUCUUAGGUUUACAUGCUCAGUUGUUUUGUUUUCCCCUCCCUAAAUAUCGGAGUGUUAAUUAAGCUUCAUGUCAACAUUGGUGGUGAAGUGAUUUCAUUUGAGAAACAUGAGAAUGGGU